UACAGAGGUCUCAAGCGUUGUUCGGAUUUAUUGGGCGUAAAGAGCGUGUAGGCGGCCAGGUAGGUCUGCUGUGAAAACUCGAGGCUUAACCUCGAGCUGUCGGCGGAAACCAUCUGGCUAGAGUCCGGAAGAGGAGAAUGGAAUUCCCGGUGUAGCGGUGAAAUGCGCAGAUAUCGGGGAAGAACACCCGUGGCGAAGGCGGUUCUCU
rnacentral:rRNA from 1 species